UCAAUUUUAAAAAUAAUUCACUAUAAUACAAUUUUCAUUAAUGCUUUCAUAUGCAAUGACUAUAAAUAAAAGUCAGGGACAAACGUUAUCCCAUGUUGGAUUGCUACUGAAGAAGCCAGUUUUUGUACAAGGAC